rnacentral:snoRNA from 15 species
GUGCAGUGAUGUAUUUGCCAACACAUCAUUCUGAAGAAAAAUGUGUGGUAACUUCUGUGACUGAGCACA